GCCUAGCCCUAAACAUUGAUAGUACUAUACACCCACUAUCCGCCAGGGUACUACGAGCAAUAGCUUAAAACCCAAAGGACUUGGCGGUGCUUUAGACCCACCUAGAGGAGCCUGUUCUAGAACCGAUAACCCCCGUUCAACCUCACCCUUCCUUGUUUUACCCGCCUAUAUACCGCCGUCGUCAGCUUACCCUGUGAGGGACUAAUAGUAAGCAGAACUGGUACAACCUAAAACGUCAGGUCGAGGUGUAGCGUAUGGAGGGGGAAGAAAUGGGCUACAUUCGCUACCACAGCGAACACGAAUGAUGCACUGAAACACACAUCUGAAGGAGGAUUUAGCAGUAAGCUGGAAAUAGAGCGUCCCGCUGAAACUGGCCCUGAAGCGCGC
rnacentral:rRNA from 1 species